rnacentral:rRNA from 1 species
AUUGAACGCUGGCGGCAUGCUUUACACAUGCCAGUCGAACGGCAGCGCGGGCUUCGGCCUGGCGGCGAGUGGCGAACGGGUGAGUAAUGCAUCGGAACGUGCCCAGUAGUGGGGGAUAGCCCGGCGAAAGCCGGAUUAAUACCGCAUACGACCUGAGGGUGAAAGCGGGGGACCGAAAGGCCUCGCGCUAUUGGAGCGGCCGAUGUCGGAUUAGCUAGUUGGUGGGGUAAAGGCUUACCAAGGCGACGAUCCGUAGCUGGUCUGAAAGGACGACCAGCCACACUGGGACUGAGACACGGCCCAGACUCCUACGGGAGGCAGCAGUGGGGAAUUUUGGACAAUGGGGGCAACCCUGAUCCAGCCAUGCCGCGUGCGGGAAGAAGGCCUUCGGGUUGUAAACCGCUUUUGUUCGGGAAGAAAUCCUCUGGGCUAAUACCCCGGGGGGAUGACGGUACCGGAAGAAUAAGCACCGGCUAACUACGUG